GCGUCCGACGACCGGCUUGUCCCCGGCAAGCCGCUCGUCCCCGGAGCCACCAUCGUCUCCGACGGCGGUGACUUUGCCUUGGGCUUCUUCGCCCCGUCCAGCUCAGGUCCGGCCAACCUGCACCUUGGCAUCUGGUACAACGGCGUCCCUGAGCUCACCGUGGUGUGGGUCGCCAACCGGGAAACACCGGUCACCAACAGCACAACACCCAAGCUCUCCCUCACCAACACAUCCGACCUUGUUCUCUCCGACGGUAAUGGCAGCGACCAUAUCGUCGUUUGGACGACCCGCGUGAAGGCUGCGUCGAGCUCCUCUUCCCCAACGGCCGUGCUUAUGAACACCGGCAACCUCGUCGUCCGGUCGCCGAACGGCACCACGCUGUGGCAGAGCUUCGACCACCCGACCGACACGCUCCUCCCCGGCAUGAAGAUGGCGUUGAAGCACGGCACGCGUGACGGUGAGCGCCUAGUGUCUUGGAAGGGCGCCGGCAACCCCUCGCCGGGGAACUUCUCCUACGGCACCGACAUGGACACGUUCCCGCAGGUAUUCCUCUGGGAAGGCACGCGCCCGGUGUACCGCGGCCCCCCGUGGACGGGGUACCGGGUGAAGAGCGACUACCAGUACCAGACGAGCAGCACCAGCUCCAUCAUCAUCUACCUGGCCGUCGUCAACGACGGUAACCAGAGCUACACGACCUUCACCGUCUCGGACGGCGCAUGGCUCACCAGAUGCGUGGUGACCUACACCGGCGAGCUCCAAAUCCAGAGCUGGAACGCCAGCUCGUCAGCGUGGGCCGUCCUCGGGAAGUGGCCGCCGUACCCGUGCGUCAGCUACGGCUACUGCGGCCCGAACGGGUACUGCGAUGAGACGGCCAGGCCUUUGCCGACGUGCAAGUGCCUCGAUGGCUUCGUGCCGGCCAGCACGAGGGACUGGACCGGCGGCAGGUUCUCAGAGGGGUGCCGGCGAAAGGAGCCUCUGCGUGCCGGUGCCGGUUUCGUGUCCCUGCCGGGGAUGAAGCCGGCGGACGGGUUCGUGCUCGUGGCCAACAGAACGCUGGAGGGGUGCGCGGCGGAGUGCGACCGCAACUGCUCCUGCGUGGCGUACGCGUACGCCAACCUGAGCAGUGCCACGUCCAGGGGAGACAUGACGAGGUGCUUGGUGUGGGCCGGGGAGUUGGUUGACACCGGGAAGUUGGGCGCAAGCAGCCCCGCCAGCGACACGCUCUAUCUCCGGCUCGCCCGAUUGGAUGUUGCAGCUGGUAAAAAAACGAAGCAUAAUGCAGUGAGGAUUGCGUUGACAGCCAUAGGAAGUAGUGUGGUGAUAAUCAUGUGCAUUUUUCUUGCAUGGUUGAAAUUCAGUGGCAAGAACAGGAACCAGGGAAAACACAAGAAGGCACCAUUCGAUAGUUCCAGUGACCUUGAGUUUCCCUUUGUAAGAUUUGAGGAAAUUGCUCAGGCUACACAAAAUUUCUCCGAAACAUGUAUGAUUGGACAAGGAGGCUUUGGCAAAGUUUAUAAGGGAACACUAGGUGGUCAACAAGUUGCUGUCAAAAGGCUAAGUAGGGAUUCUCAACAAGGGACAAUUGAGUUCACAAAUGAAGUAAUACUUAUUGCCAAAUUACAACACCGUAAUUUGGUUCGACUACUGGGAUGUUGUGGCGAGGGAGAUGAGAAGUUAUUGAUUUAUGAGUACUUGCCUAAUAAAAGCUUGGAUGCCACACUUUUCGAUGAUUCAAGAAAGCGGUUGCUUGAUUGGGAAACACGGUUUAAUAUAAUCAAAGGUGUCGGAAGAAGGCUUGUUUAUCUCCACCAAGAUUCAAGACUGACAAUAAUUCAUAGAGAUCUCAAAGCUGGAAAUGUUUUGCUAGAUGGAGAUAUGAAACCCAAGAUAGCAGAUUUUGGUAUGGCGAGGCUCUUUGGCGAUAACCAGGAAAAUGCAAACACCCAACGUGUUGUUGGAACAUAUGGCUACAUGGCUCCUGAGUAUGCAAUGGAAGGUGUCUUCUCUACCAAGUCUGACGUCUAUAGCUUCGGUGUGUUAGUACUAGAGAUUGUAACCAGCAUAAAGAGAAGCUCUAUCAUUCACACCAUGGGCUUUUCUAGUCUUAUAGACUAUUCGUGGAAUAUGUGGAAGGAAGGGAAGACAAAGGAUAUGGCCGAUUCAUCUAUCACCGAUACGUGUUCACUACACGAAGUCUUUCUUUGCAUCCAUAUAGCACUAUUGUGCGUUCAGGAAAACCCAGAUGAUAGGCCACUGAUGUCAUCAAUUAUGACCGCCCUAGAGGGAAGUACCACACUUCCAAAUCCCAAUUGCCCUGCCUACCUUGUGCGCCGGGAAACCGAAUUAGAGCACUUUAGGAACAAUAUUCAGAACUCAGUCAAUUCUUUAACUCUUACGGAAAUAGUGGGCCGAUGA
rnacentral:rRNA from 1 species